AAUAGCUCAGGGGUAGAGCAAAAGACUGAAAAUCUUUGUGUCGUUGGUUCAAAUCCAUCUU
rnacentral:tRNA from 1 species